GAUUGUACAUUGGGGCCAUCUAUGACGAUUUUUUAAGCCAAGAUUUUGCUAAAAUUGGGUGAUAAAUCAGCUUAAGAUAUUUAUUGUGGACAUUUUUUCUUUUUUGACUUAAGACAUUUGCUAAGCUGAGAUUGAUAAAUUCCGGGCCUGGUACAUAGUAGAAAAUGAGAAGUCUUAUAGUCAGCCUAGCACGGAGGUAUAAUUCCUCCAUGCUAACCAUUAGAAGUUUCAUGAUACUGGGCACGCGGAUAAAUCAUGGUGUUCACCCUCGUGACUGCGUGGUCGAUGCGUGGUCGAUGAUGUACACAUCCAUUGCCACGUCGACAUCUUUCACAAUAAGAUUUUUAGUGACGGCUGUUACUGGUUAACGUCUCUACUACAGUUAGAGGAAACACCUGGACAUCAACGACGUGCGCACACUAGUAUUAGGAUGCCACCUGUUGAAAUGGAAACAAAUCCUAUGCCCGGACGUCACCAAACAACAUGGACAGAGUCUUUGCGAAAUUGGGGAAAUAGAGCUUGGCGUUGGAUUACUACAAACCCAGGCUGUAUCUUGCACUUUUUAGUGGAAGUUUACCGUUUGAUUUGUUAGGGGAAAACUGAUAAAGCAUGUUUCUUUAUGUCCACCCAUGAUCCUAGUUUAUUUUGUGUGCAAAAUACAAUGCAUUCCUUGGUUAUAUGUCACUCUCUACAAGCACCUUUCCUUUUAAAUGGAAAAUGGCACAAAUUUUCCCUGUUUUCAAAAGUGGGAAAAGAAGUGAACCAAGUAACUACAGACCAAUAUCUGUAUUACCUGUACUAUCAAAGAUACUUGAAAAGGUUGUUUUUGAGCAAAUUUACCUAUUUCUUAACACAAACGGUCUUCUAUAUGCUCAGCAAUCAGGUUUUCGUCCAAAUUUUUCUACUUCUUCUUCUCUACUUAACAUUACUGAAAAUUGGAUUGACGCAAUUGACACAGGAAAAUUUAUUGGUUUAGUUACAUUGGCCCUUAAGAAGGCAUUGAUACCAUGAAUCAUUGUAUUUUACUUUUAAAAUUGGAAUAUUAAAUAUUAAGAAAACUGAGUGAUGAUUAUAGGGACACACCAAAAGCUUUAUAAGAUUUCUAAUAAUGUACACUAAUAUAAAAAUUGACAAUAAAGUCUUUAAAAGGGUAAAAAGCUGUUAACAUCUUGGUGUGAUUAUCGAUAAAAACCUCACAUGGGAAAAUCAUGCAGAUCAUGUAAAGGAAAAGGUUCUACCAGGCUUGUAUUAAAAGAAAGGCAAGCACAGAGUUUCUAAAAAAAUUCAAUGCAACAUGUAAAACACUAAUAGCCCCACAACUUUCGACUAAGUUGUAUAGUUUGGGGCAAUUCUAUGAAUAAAACUUGUUAUGAGAAACUUUAGGUCCUGCAAAACCGUGCUGCCAAGAUCAUACUAAAUCAUCACAGUAUGAUUCCAGUACACAAGCCUUGCAAAAACUUUACCUACAAAAAUUUAAACAAAGAAUGUAAAAUAUAGAAGCAAUAACCAUGUAUAAUUGUUUACAUUUGAUUUUGUCGUUAUCCCUGAAAAACCUUAACCAAAAAUAAUAACACUUAAAUAAUGAAUAUUAUUCCCCCA